rnacentral:rRNA from 1 species
AUUCCAGCUCCAAUAGCGUAUAUUAAAGUUGUUGCGGUUAAAAAGCUCGUAGUUGGAGUUCUGCCAGGUGCCACCUGUCCGCCCCAGUGGUGAGUACGUGGUGCGCAUUUGGCCCUUUCAAGGGGAGCGUAUUUGCACUUAAUUGUGUGGUGCGGGAUCCUUGACUUUUACUUUGAGGAAAUAAGAGUGUUCCAAGCAGGCUCUCGUCGUGCAUAGCUCAGCAUGGAAUAAUAGCAUUGGACCUCGAUUCUAAGCUGCUGGUUGCCAGAAGCGAGGUAAUGAUUAAUAGGGACAGUCGGGGGCAUUUGUAUUCAAACGACAGAGGUGAAAUUCUUGGACCGUUUGAAGACAAACUACUGCGAAAGCAUUUGCCAAGAAUGUUUUCAUUA